UACGUAGGGUCCGAGCGUUGUCCGGAAUUAUUGGGCGUAAAGGGCUCGUAGGCGGUUUGUCGCGUCGGGAGUGAAAACACCGGGCUUAACUCGGUGCUUGCUUUCGAUACGGGCAGACUGGAGGUAUGCAGGGGAGAACGGAAUUCCUGGCGUAGCGGUGAAAUGCGCAGAUAUCAGGAGGAACACCGGUGGCGAAGGCGGUUCUCUGGGCAUUACCUGACGCUGAGGAGCGAAAGCGUGGGGAGCAAACAGG
rnacentral:rRNA from 1 species